AGAGUUUGAUCCUGGCUCAGGAUGAACGCUGGCGGUCUGCUUAACACAUGCAAGUCGAACGGGGGUAGAAAUACCCUAGUGGCGGACGGGUGAGUAACGCGUGAGAAUCUGCCUUCAGGUUCGGGACAACCACUGGAAACGGUGGCUAAUACCGGAUAUGCUUCACGGUGAAAGAUUUAUUGCCUGAAGAGGAGCUCGCGUCUGAUUAGCUAGUUGGUAGGGUAAAAGCCUACCAAGGCAACGAUCAGUAGCUGGUCUGAGAGGAUGAUCAGCCACACUGGGACUGAGACACGGCCCAGACUCCUACGGGAGGCAGCAGUGGGGAAUUUUCCGCAAUGGGCGAAAGCCUGACGGAGCAAGACCGCGUGAGGGAGGAAGGCUCUUGGGUUGUAAACCUCUUUUCUCAGGGAAGAACAAAUGACGGUACCUGAGGAAUCAGCCUCGGCUAACUCCGUGCCAGCAGCCGCGGUAAUACGGAGGAGGCAAGCGUUAUCCGGAAUUAUUGGGCGUAAAGCGUCCGCAGGUGGCUCGCUCAAGUCUGCUGUCAAAGACCGGGGCUUAACUCCGGAAAGGCAGUGGAAACUGACAAGCUAGAGGGCUCUAGGGGUAGAGGGAAUUCCCGGUGUAGCGGUGAAAUGCGUAGAGAUCGGGAAGAACAUCGGUGGCGAAAGCGCUCUACUGGAGAGCAACUGACACUCAGGGACGAAAGCUAGGGGAGCGAAUGGGAUUAGAUACCCCAGUAGUCCUAGCCGUAAACGAUGGAUACUAGGCGUGGCUCGUAUCGACCCGAGCCGUGCCGUAGCUAACGCGUUAAGUAUCCCGCCUGGGGAGUACGCACGCAAGUGUGAAACUCAAAGGAAUUGACGGGGGCCCGCACAAGCGGUGGAGUAUGUGGUUUAAUUCGAUGCAACGCGAAGAACCUUACCAGGGCUUGACAUGUCCGGAACCCUGCUGAAAGGUGGGGGUGCCUUCGGGAGCCGGAACACAGGUGGUGCAUGGCUGUCGUCAGCUCGUGUCGUGAGAUGUUGGGUUAAGUCCCGCAACGAGCGCAACCCUCGUUCUUAGUUGCCAGCAUUAAGUUGGGCACUCUAGGGAGACUGCCGGUGACAAACCGGAGGAAGGUGGGGAUGACGUCAAGUCAGCAUGCCCCUUACGUCCUGGGCUACACACGUACUACAAUGCGACGGACAAAGGGCAGCGAGCGAGCGAUCGUCAGCUAAUCCCAUAAACCGUGGCUCAGUUCAGAUCGCAGGCUGCAACUCGCCUGCGUGAAGGAGGAAUCGCUAGUAAUUGCAGGUCAGCAUACUGCAGUGAAUCCGUUCCCGGGCCUUGUACACACCGCCCGUCACACCAUGGGAGCUGGUUUUGCCCGAAGUCGUUACCCUAACCCGCAAGGGAAGGGGACGCCGAAGGCAGGGCUAGUGACUGGGGUGAAGUCGUAACAAGGUAGCCGUACCGGAAGGUGUGGCUGGAUCACCUCCUUUUUAGGGAGACCUAUUUGCCGUUGACCUCUUCUUAGUAUUAAGGUCACACAGGCAAGUCAUCCUAGGUCGUUCGAGAUUGGAUUGCGCUUAGGCUUUCAAACUAUCUUAGGUUCGGUCACAAGACCUGGAACUAAGAAUUCAGCAAUUUUGCUUGAUAGCAAGCAAUUCUGCUGGAUGUCUAAUCCAGCCAGAACCUUGAAAACUGCAUAGCAACUGAUAUAGGUAGUUCUCAGUCAUGAGUGAACAGUCAAGGGAGAUUUAAUGAAAUCGCCUGGACUAGGAAACGAAUGACUGGUGAAAAGACGUAUCACAGACGCCAAAUAAAUUGUGGUCAAGCUACAAAGAGCUAACGGUGGAUACCUAGGCACACAGAGGCGAAG
rnacentral:rRNA from 1 species